GAGCAAAGGCGUCAAAUCUUUUUGUGAAAAAUGGCGUGAUUUGCAUUGAAGGUGGGCAACAACACUUUGUUUGUUUUUCUAUUUCAAAACAAAGUUCAAGAUU